GACGAACGCUGGCGGCGUGCUUAACACAUGCAAGUCGAACGGAAAGGCCCUGCUUUUGUGGGGUGCUCGAGUGGCGAACGGGUGAGUAACACGUGAGUAACCUGCCCUUGACUUUGGGAUAACUUCAGGAAACUGGGGCUAAUACCGGAUAGGAGCUCCUGCUGCAUGGUGGGGGUUGGAAAGUUUCGGCGGUUGGGGAUGGACUCGCGGCUUAUCAGCUUGUUGGUGGGGUAGUGGCUUACCAAGGCUUUGACGGGUAGCCGGCCUGAGAGGGUGACCGGCCACAUUGGGACUGAGAUACGGCCCAGACUGCUACGGGAGGCAGUAGUGGGGAAUAUUGCACAAUGGGCGGAGGCGUGAUGAAGAAACGCCGCGUGCGGGAUGUCGGCCUUCGGGUUGUAAAACGCUUUCGCCUGUGACGAAGCGUGAGGGAGGGAAAUGGGUAAAGAAGCACCGGCGAACUAGGG
rnacentral:rRNA from 1 species